CUCACAUCAAAGAAAACCUGCAUGUGUUUGAAAGACAGAGCAGAAGGUUAUAAUGUGGAAAAGCUACAAAUGCAAGGUGCCUCACUCUGCACAGAACCCAUGGCUCUGCUGGAAAACACGGGGCUGCAAAUGCCAGUUCGGUGGAUUUUGAGAUCAGUGAGCCAGAGCCCAGAACUGAGCCUCUCUGGCUGGGCAGGAAGCUGAGGCAGUGGCCUGGCAGCAGGAUGCCUAGACCAGCACCCUGCCAUUAUCUUCUAGAACCUUGGGUAAAUAUGCUGAAAAAAGAACAGACGCCGUCAAGAUGCAGUCCAUGGAAGUUUCCCCCCACCGAGACUUACAGGCCGGCAUUCAGUCAUACAGGUGCCGCCAGCACCAUCCCAAGCCCAGGGUCUGCCCAGCAGCCGCUUAAGUCUACUACAAGCGCACUUCUCCCUCCCAAGGGAGGACGAAGGUUCCUCAAUACGGGACAGUCUCUCCUUGAGCACGGAUGGUAACGCCUGCCGGGACACCGCCGCGUCAGGGGCUGGCCCCGAGCGCUCCCAAACCUAGUGUCAUCCGCAGCGGGCGGCCCAGCUGCCACCCUUGGGCUCGGAGCGCGUCUCCUCCGCCCAUCCCGUCCUUCCCGCAGUCUUCCUGCUUCUGUUCCCGAGCCCCCGCCACGCCGAAGGAAUGUCUCCUUCCUGGAGAAAGGGCCCACCGGUUCCGGAAGCUUCUCCUAGCCCCUGAGCUGGUCACGUUGGACCGAGGACCCAGGAGAUUAAGUUCAAAUAGCCGGCGGCCGGGGAGGGUUGGGACUCCGGCCAGCGUCCCCAAGUCUUCCCGGAGAGCGCCACCCCCCACAGCCAGCCACGCCACUGCCUCCCAUCCUCGGCUCACUCUUCGCCACCCAUCACAGACGUCCCAGUCCCCAAGGCUCCCCCACCCCCCUGGCCCGCACAGGGGAAGUUGCAGCCCACCACUC